rnacentral:rRNA from 1 species
CCCGGCUCCAUACCGAACCCGGUAGUUAAGACCACCAGCGUCGAUGGUAGUGCAGGGGUAACCCUGUGUGAGAGUAGACCGUCGCCAACU